rnacentral:rRNA from 1 species
UACGAAGGGGGCUAGCGUUGUUCGGAAUCACUGGGCGUAAAGCGCACGUAGGCGGAUCGUUAAGUCGGGGGUGAAAUCCCAGAGCUCAACUCUGGAACUGCCUUCGAUACUGGCGAUCUUCGAGUCCGGGAGAGGUGAGUGGAACUCCGAGUGUAGAGGUGAAAUGCGUAGAUAUGUGGAGGAACACCGAUGGCGAAGGCAGCCCCCUGGGUUAACACUGACGCUCAUGCACGAAAGCGUGGGGAGCAAACAGG